rnacentral:rRNA from 1 species
UAGGCUUAAAUCACUCGUGCCGUGAGGUGUUAGGUUAAGUCCUGCAACGAGCGCAACCCCUGUCACUAGUUGCCAUCAUUAAGUUGGGGACUCUAGUGAGACUGCCUACGCAAGUAGAGAGGAAGGUGGGGAUGACGUCAAAUCAUCACGGCCCUUACGCCUUGGGCCACACACGUAAUACAAUGGCCGGUACAGAGGGCAGCUACACAGCGAUGUGAUGCAAAUCUCGAAAGCCGGUCUCAGUUCGGAUUGGAGUCUGCAACUCGACUCUAUGAAGCUGGAAUCGCUAGUAAUCGCGCAUCAGCCAUGGCGCGGUGAAUACGUUCCCGGGCCUUGUACACACCGCCCGUCAAGCCAUGGAAGUCUGGGGUACCUGAAGUCGGUGACCGUAACAGGAGCUCGUUU